GCCUCGGUAGCUUAGCCCAGCAGAGCGAUGGCCUUGUACGAUAUCUUAAGGAAAGCCAUUGAUCGUGGGUUCAAAUCCCACCCGAGGCU
rnacentral:tRNA from 1 species